CAGAACCAAUAUUCAAAACCAUACACAUAUUUUGAAAGAAAACCACAAUUUAAACAAACAACUUUUUAUCACAUAACAUAUACUACAAAUACACUAAACAUCGCAUCAUUUCUUUCUUACGACCCCCUCUUCAUCCAAGCGUCCCACAUCGUUGAAGGUCUGCGCUGCCAUCUGAUCCGCUGCUUUAAGUGUUUCCGCCAUUGCCCCUGGUCGACUUUCUUCCACUUUCAUCACCACCUUAUUAUUAUCUCCUCGUCCCUCAGAAAAAUCUUUGAACCCUUUAUCAUGUAGCCUUAGCUCCUCCAUUUUCCUCCUUGCAUCUGCAUCUCCACCUCUCACAUUCUCCUGUGUCACAUCCGGAUAAUUUACUCACAUAUACACAAUGCUUCCAUUCUUAAACUCAUUUUUAUCCUUAAAAUUUUUUACCACAUUUAAAGAAAAGAAGACCAAAACUACAGUAAAACAUGAACAGAUUCUAAGACAUGUUAGGCUCAAGAAAUUUAAAAGUAAGAGUGAGAGUGAGACCUUGUUGGUUCUCUCCCAAGCCCUUUCCGCAGCCUUGUCCUUCAUCUCAAGAGCCUUAUACCUCGCAGCAUCAGUUGUUUCUGAAGUCUUGUUCUUUGCUGCCUCUGCACUUUGUGCAGCCUUGUCUUUCAUCUCCACAGCCUUAUUCUUCGCU
rnacentral:lncRNA from 1 species